rnacentral:rRNA from 1 species
UACAUGGGGUGCAAACGUUGCUCGGAAUUAUUGGGCGUAAAGCGCACGUAGGCGGUUCGUUAAGUCGGAUGUGAAAGCCCUCGGCUCAACUGAGGAAGUGCACCCGAAACUGGCGAGCUUGAGUACGAAAGAGGAUCGCGGAAUUCCCGGUGUAGAGGUGAAAUUCGUAGAUAUCAGGAGGAACACCGGUGGCGAAGGCGGCCUUCUGGACAGUGACUGACGCUGAGACGCGAAAGCGUGGGGAGCAAACAGG